ACUAAAACACCCCCAAAUCAGAUGCUAAACCCUCCUUCACCGCAACCACACACCCUCCGUCGCACACCGCACGCACCACCGCGACGCAACCACAGCCGCCGAUGCCAGAGCCGCCACGCCGCCACAGCUUCGUCGUUUGGAACAGUGCGCCGUCGAUCUACAGCCGCCUACCCUUCUGAUCUGCUUCGUUGUUCCCUCCUCCGGCUCCCCUGCGAUGCCACAGCUACCGCCUUCCACGUACUGCAGUUGCAGAUAAAAAUACUACUUCCUUUGGAGAGAAACUCCGGGAACAAGUUGAGGAGUGGCUUGAUUUUUAUGAUAAGGGUGUUUCACUGUGCAAAAACAUAGAUGUGAUGAAAGCUUAGCUGCUAUAGAAAAUUUCCAAAGUCAAGGAGGUUAAUCGGUAUGAUGAUUUAGAUAAUCUCCUUCAGAAAGAUGGGUUCAGAGGAGUGUACCAGAUAGUGGAGAGAGUUGGUUCAUUGAGCUACAAUCAACAAGAGAUUGAUGAAAUUAGAGACACAUGGGCCAAGUACUUCGUUGAUGAAUGGAUUAAUACAUUGCAUUAGCUAGUAUGUGAAAUAGUAAUGUGAUGUAUUGCUUUUAUUGAUUCGGUACAAAGUUUGGGAUAAUAUUAUGACUUGUAUUAAUUAAUAUAGAUAAUUUUUGAUGAACAUCUGUUAUUAAUUAUUAUCAAUUGUGAGAUUUA